GCUGGGUGUGGUGGCCUUGCGUGUAUUCCUAGCGACUUGAGAGGCUAAGGCAGGAGAAUUACUUGAGCCCAGGAGUUCCAGGUUGCAGUGAGCUAUGAUUGCACCACUGCACUUCAGCCUGGGAGACAGAGCAAGACUCUGUCUCUUUAUUUUUUUUUUUUUUUGAGAUGGAGUCUUGCUCUGUCUCCCAGGCUGAAGUGCAGUGGUGCAAUCAUAGCUCACUGCAACCUGGAACUCCUGGGCUCAAGUAAUUCUCCUGCCUUAG
rfam:Gorilla gorilla gorilla genomic chromosome, chr20, whole genome shotgun sequence